UACAGAGGGGGCAAGCGUUGUUCGGAAUUACUGGGCGUAAAGGGCGCGUAGGCGGCCCGCUAAGUCGAACGUGAAAUCCCCGAGCUCAACUCGGGAACUGCGUCCGAUACUGGCGGGCUUGAAUCCGGGAGAGGGAUGCGGAAUUCCAGGUGUAGCGGUGAAAUGCGUAGAUAUCGGGAGGAACACCAGUGGCGAAGGCGGCUUCCUGGCCUGUUCUUGACGCUGAGGCGCGAAAGCUAGGGGAGCAGACGGG
rnacentral:rRNA from 1 species